GGAGGGUUGGCAGAAUGGCAAUGCGCUGGUCUUGAAAACCAGUGGGUGAAAGCCCUUAGAGGUUCGAGUCCUCUACCCUCCG
rnacentral:tRNA from 1 species